AGAGUUUGAUCCUGGCUCAGAACGAACGCUGGCGGCAUGCCUAAUACAUGCAAGUCGAACGAGAUCUUCGGAUCUAGUGGCGCACGGGUGCGUAACGCGUGGGAAUCUGCCCUUGGGUUCGGAAUAACUUCUGGAAACGGAAGCUAAUACCGGAUGAUGACGUAAGUCCAAAGAUUUAUCGCCCAAGGAUGAGCCCGCAUAGGAUUAGCUAGUUGGUGAGGUAAAGGCUCACCAAGGCGACGAUCCUUAGCUGGUCUGAGAGGAUGAUCAGCCACACUGGGACUGAGACACGGCCCAUACUCCUACGGGAGGCAGCAGUAGGGAAUAUUGGACAAUGGGCGAAAGCCUGAUCCAGCAAUGCCGCGUGAGUGAUGAACGCCUUAGGGUUGUAAAGCUCUUUUACCCGGGAUGAUAAUGACAGUACCGGGAGAAUAAGCUCCGGCUAACUCCGUGCCAGCAGCCGCGGUAAUACGGAGGGAGCUAGCGUUGUUCGGAAUUACUGGGCGUAAAGCGCACGUAGGCGGAUAUUCAAGUCAGAGGUGAAAGCCCGGGGCUCAACCCCGGAACUGCCUUUGAAACUAGAUAGCUUGAAUCCAGGAGAGGUGAGUGGAAUUCCGAGUGUAGAGGUGAAAUUCAUAGAUAUUCAGAAGAACACCAGUGGCGAAGGCGGCUCACU
rnacentral:rRNA from 1 species